rnacentral:misc_RNA from 1 species
UCGUAAAGCCCCUAGCUCCACCUGCUCACCCAGUGGUUCCUGUUUGAUUUUGCCCCAGUAGAUCAUUCCCAUGUAUCAUUGCCCGUGAAUUCAAGGGGGUAGUAGUUGUCAUUUUUAUGGCCAAAGGCUGUGGGAAAUUUUGUGAAUACUAGUCUUUUGUAUUUGUCAGAACAGUCACCAUACAUGACUGCAGCUUCGUAGUAGCCUCCCUGAUUCUUGUAAAUUGUUCUUGUUUGCAUUUUGCAAAUCUUUAUUGAGA